ACACUUGACCGCCGCGGGUCAAAGUGUAGUAUCUGUUCCGAGCAGCUUAAUAUCUGAUACGGGUUUUAUUUGGACCCAACAUAUUACGCUAAUUUUCGCAAGUUGUCAGAGUGCUUGAAGCCUGCUUCACCUCCACCGCGGGUCGGCCCGGUAUUCCACAAUAUUCGGGAUCGGCCCACAGUUU